AGUGAACGCUGGCGGUAGGCCUAACACAUGCAAGUCGAACGGCAGCACAGUAAGAGCUUGCUCUUACGGGUGGCGAGUGGCGGACGGGUGAGGAAUACAUCGGAAUCUACUUUUUCGUGGGGGAUAACGUAGGGAAACUUACGCUAAUACCGCAUACGACCUACGGGUGAAAGCAGGAGAUCUUCGGACCUUGCGCGAUUGAAUGAGCCGAUGUCGGAUUAGCUAGUUGGCGGGGUAAAGGCCCACCAAGGCGACGAUCCGUAGCUGGUCUGAGAGGAUGAUCAGCCACACUGGAACGGAGACACGGUCCAGACUCCUACGGGAGGAAGCAGUGGGGAAUAUUGGACAAUGGGCGCAAGCCUGAUCCAGCCAUACCGCGUGGGUGAAGAAGGCCUUCGGGUUGUAAAGCCCUUUUGUUGGGAAAGAAAAGCAGCAGGUUAAUACCCCGCUGUUCUGACGGUACCCAAAGAAUAAGCACCGGCUAACUUCGUG
rnacentral:rRNA from 1 species